GAGGGAGAAGAAAUUGCUGGGCGUCCAUGGGCAGGGGAGGAUGAGCGGGAAGCAGCAGAGAAGAUGGUGUAGUGCCCAUUGGAUGGAAAAUUGUGGCUGUUUUGAUGGUUAGAGGUUUUAAUAAACGAAGAGACCAGGUGACCUUGCGAACAUACAAGAAGGCAUGCUGUCGUCCAUGAUUGUAUUUGAGCAUCUAUUUCCUAGUUGAAAACCCAGUAGCCUCCUCACCAGCUUCAGCAUCCAGAUAUGAUGUGCUUGCAUUCUUCUGGUCUUCUUGUAGCCUGAACUCAUUCCACCUCCCCACAACGCCAACAUUUCACUUCUUUUAUUUGGAGGAGGACG
rnacentral:lncRNA from 1 species